GAUGAACGCUAGCGGCAGGCUUAACACAUGCAAGUCGAGGGGUAUAGGUUUUCGGACCUAGAGACCGGCGCACGGGUGCGUAACGCGUAUGCAAUCUACCUUUCACAGAGGGAUAGCCCAGAGAAAUUUGGAUUAAUACCUCAUAGUAUAGCAGUUUCGCAUGAAACCACUAUUAAAGUUCCAACGGUGAAAGAUGAGCACGCGUCCCAUUAGCUAGAUGGUAAGGUAACGGCUUACCAUGGCUACGAUGGGUAGGGGUCCUGAGAGGGAGAUCCCCCGCACUGGUACUGAGACCCGGACCAGACUCCUACGGGAGGCAGCAGUGAGGAAUAUUGGUCAAUGGACGCAAGUUUGAACCAGCCAUGCCGCGUGCAGGAUGACGGUCCUAUGGAUUGUAAACUGCUUUUGUACGAGAAGAAACAACAUUACGUGUAAUGUCUUGACGGUAUCGUAAGAAUAAGGAUCGGCUAACUCCGUGCCAGCAGCCGCCGUAAAAC
rnacentral:rRNA from 1 species